rnacentral:rRNA from 1 species
GAUGAACGCUGGCGGCGUGCUUAACACAUGCAAGUCGAACGAAGCACUCUAUUUGAUUUUCUUCGGAAAUGAAGAUUUUGUGGCUGAGUGGCGGACGGGUGAGUAACGCGUGGGUAACCUGCCUCAUACAGGGGGAUAACAGUUGGAAACGACUGCUAAUACCGCAUAAGCGCACAGGAUUGCAUGAUCCGGUGUGAAAAACUCCGGUGGUAUGAGAUGGACCCGCGUCUGAUUAGCCAGUUGGCAGGGUAACGGCCUACCAAAGCGACGAUCAGUAGCCGACCUGAGAGGGUGACCGGCCACAUUGGGACUGAGACACGGCCCAAACUCCUACGGGAGGCAGCAGUGGGGAAUAUUGCACAAUGGGGGAAACCCUGAUGCAGCGACGCCGCGUGAGCGAAGAAGUAUUUCGGUAUGUAAAGCUCUAUCAGCAGGGAAGAAGAAUGACGGUACCUGACUAAGAAGCAC